AGUGAACGCUGGCGGUAGGCCUAACACAUGCAAGUCGAACGGCAGCACAGUAAGAGCUUGCUCUUACGGGUGGCGAGUGGCGGACGGGUGAGGAAUACAUCGGAAUCUACUUUUUCGUGGGGGAUAACGUAGGGAAACUUACGCUAAUACCGCAUACGACCUACGGGUGAAAGCAGGGGACCUUCGGGCCUUGCGCGAUUGAAUGAGCCGAUGUCGGAUUAGCUAGUUGGCGGGGUAAAGGCCCACCAAGGCGACGAUCCGUAGCUGGUCUGAGAGGAUGAUCAGCCACACUGGAACUGAGACACGGUCCAGACUCCUACGGGAGGCAGCAGUGGGGAAUAUUGGACAAUGGGCGCAAGCCUGAUCCAGCCAUACCGCGUGGGUGAAGAAGGCCUUCGGGUUGUAAAGCCCUUUUGUUGGGAAAGAAAUCCAGCCGGCUAAUACCUGGUUGGGAUGACGGUACCCAAAGAAUAAGCACCGGCUAACUUCGUGCCAGCAGCCGCCGUAAUAC
rnacentral:rRNA from 1 species